CAUACAGUUAUGUUCAAUCUGAGAAGAGCAAUAAUUAAUACAUUGCUUUCAACAGAGUGUGUGAUGGAGAAGCAACCCAAACCACUCAAUGUGGUGACCGUGGAACUACACAACAUCUUUUUGGCAAAUGCAACCUUGCAGUGUUACAAAGGGAUUUGUUUUGCUGAUCUAACACAAAAUUGGUGACACAUACAGAUGUUAUAUAUACAUUCCAAAGUUAAUUCCUUGCAAUACAUUGUCUUUUCUGCAUUUUGUUGUUUACAGAAGGGUUGAUUCAAAGCCCUAAAUCAAGGCAGUGGAAGAUUCCCACCAUGUGCAGAGUACUUCAGAUCUGCCAGAGAAUGUGAGGAACUAGCAGGCAACAGAGAUGUAACAGAAGCAUUCAGGGAAAACAGGAGAAAAGGAACUGCAGGGUACCAGAUUACCUGGACUUUUGGUGUGACCCGGGUCGGCCUUUCUUAUAUUACAGCUGCAGCAGAAAGAUGUCCCCACCUCAGACCUCUUGCUUCCUGUCAUAUCUUUUGGGGACUGAACCUGAGAAAUCCUAAUAAAACACU